rnacentral:misc_RNA from 1 species
GGGUCCGACUGGGAAGACCUCCGGCACUUUAGUAGUUGCUGCAACUGAGUUAAUCGCAUACUGUUCCAGCUCUCGAUAUGUAUUUACGACCACACCCUUCGUUUCCACGUACCUGCGUGCAUGGUAUAAAAACCAAGAAUACCCAUCUUUCUUCCUUUUCAAAACUGAACUAGGCAGUACUUUUGGAGGCAAGGGAUUGGCAAAACCCGGUAUUAUCAACUCAGUUGCAGCAUCUUUAGGUACAAUCAUCUCAUUAUCCGAGUCAAUGAACUCAGUAGCGAGUUGAGUGUCUAUAACUGGCAAAUGUAACAUAAAACCCAAGAAACUAACUGGAGAAGCAUAGUAGAGAUAACAAGGAAUGUUAAGCUCAUUAGCAACAUCAAUCAUAGAAGUAGAGAACAUAUCAACUAACAAUCCACAAACUCGAGCUGAGUCAGACUCGGCUUGUUGGAGUUUAUCAAUUUCAUGCUUUACAUGUAGCUUGUGUUUUUGGAUUAAGAGUGAUAAGUAACCUAGUGAUGAUUGGUACUGAUCGGGUGAAGGUGUGUCUACAGGAGGGAGGUGGAUGAAA